rnacentral:rRNA from 1 species
AUUGAACGCUGGCGGAAUGCUUUACACAUGCAAGUCGAGCGGCAGCACGGACUUCGGUCUGGUGGCGAGUGGCGAACGGGUGAGUAAUGUAUCGGAACGUGCCCAGUCGUGGGGGAUAACGUAGUGAAAAUUACGCUAAUACCGCAUACGAUCUAUGGAUGAAAGCGGGGGAUCGCAAGACCUCGCGCGAUUGGAGCGGCCGAUAUCAGAUUAGGUAGUUGGUGGGGUAAAGGCCCACCAAGCCAACGAUCUGUAGCUGGUCUGAGGGGACGACCAGCCACACUGGAACUGAGACACGGUCCAGACUCCUACGGGAGGCAGCAGUGGGGAAUUUUGGACAAUGGGCGAAAGCCUGAUCCAGCCAUUCCGCGUGCAGGAUGAAGGCCCUCGGGUUGUAAACUGCUUUUGUACAGAACGAAAAGGUUUCUACUAAUACUAGGAGCUCAUGACGGUACUGUAAGAAUAAGCACCGGCUAACUACGUGCCAGCAGCCGCCGCAG